ACAGCGGCGGACGGGUUAGUAACGCGUGGGAACGUGCCCUUUAGUACGGAAUAGCCAUUGGAAACGAUGAUUAAUACCGUAUACGCCCUAUGGGGGAAAGAUUUAUCGCUAAAGGAUCGGCCCGCGUUAGAUUAGGUUGUUGGUGGGGUAAUGGCCUACCAAGCCUACGAUCUAUAGCUGGUUUGAGAGGAUGAUCAGCAACACUGGGACUGAGACACGGCCCAGACUUCUACGGAAGGCAGCAGUAGGGAAUCUUGGACAAUGGGCGAAAGCCUGAUCCAGCCAUGCCGCGUGAGUGAUGAAGGCCCUAGGGUUGUAAAGCUCUUUCGCCAGGGAAGAUAAUGACGGUACCUGGUAAAGAAACCCCGGCUAACUCCGUGCCAGCAGCCGCGGUAAUACGGAGGGGGUUAGCGUUGUUCGGAAUUACUGGGCGUAAAGCGCACGUAGGCGGAUUAAUAAGUCAGGGGUGAAAUCCCGAGGCUCAACCUCGGAACUGCCUUUGAUACUGUUAAUCUUGAGUUCGAGAGAGGUGAGUGGAAUUCCGAGUGUAGAGGUGAAAUUCGUAGAUAUUCGGAGGAACACCAGUGGCGAAGGCGGCUCACUGGCUCGAUACUGACGCUGAGGUGCGAAAGCGUGGGGAGCAAACAGGA
rnacentral:rRNA from 1 species